rnacentral:rRNA from 1 species
GAUGAACGCUGGCGGCGUGCCUAAUACAUGCAAGUCGAGCGAACGGACGAGAAGCUUGCUUCUCUGAUGUUAGCGGCGGACGGGUGAGUAACACGUGGAUAACCUACCUAUAAGACUGGGAUAACUUCGGGAAACCGGAGCUAAUACCGGAUAAUAUUUUGAACCGCAUGGUUCAAUAGUGAAAGACGGCCUUGCUGUCACUUAUAGCUGGAUCUGCGCUGCUUUAGCUAGUUGGUAAGGUAACGGCUUACCAAGGCAACGAUGCGUAGCCGAACUGAGAGGGUGAGCGGCCACACUGGAAGUGAGACCCGGGCCAGGGUCCUUCGGGAGGCAGCAGUAGGGAAUCUUCCGCAAUGGGCGGAAGCCUGACGGAGCAACGCCGCGUGAGUGAUGAAGGUCUUCGGAUCGUAAAACUCUGUUAUUAGGGAAGAACAUAUGUGUAAGUAACUGUGCACAUCUUGACGGUACCUAAUCAGAAAGCCACGGCUAACUACGUG